rnacentral:rRNA from 1 species
GGAAGUAAAAGUCGUAACAAGGUUUCCGAAGGUGAACCUGCGGAAGGAUCAUUAAUGAUUUUUAAAGCGAGUCGAGCGUUAAGCGAGGCUUGCGAAAUAUUUAAAACCCCACUCUUUUUAACCUUAAAAAAUAAAUCAUGAUAUACAUGAAUUUAAAAAAAAGAUCACUUUCAACAACGGAUCUCUUGGCUCUCGCAUCGAUGAAGAACGCAGCGAAAUGCGAUAAGUAGUGUGAAUUGCAUAAUUUUGUGAAUCAUCGAAUCUUUGAACGCAAAUUGCACUCCCUGGUAUUCCGGGGAGUAUGCCUGUUUGAGGGUCGUUAGAAUAAAAAUCGAGGCGUCGCUCUUUUUUUUAAGGGUGAUCGCGUCGGAAUUGAGCCGUCUUUCAAAUGUUAAUUCAUGUCAAAGUGGCUUAAAAUUUCAUCCAUCCGGUACGAUUAAAGCGUAUUUAAGAUCAAUUUUGAUUAAGAACGCGCGAUGACGGACCAUCUCAUGUAGUACGUCUGACCUGGCGUCGUCAGGAUCAUUCGUAUACGAUACUCAAACUUUUGACCUCAAAUCAGGUAAGAAUACCCGCUGAACUUAAGCAUAUCAAUAAGCGGAGGA